rnacentral:rRNA from 1 species
ACUCCUACGGGAGGCAGCAGUGGGGAAUAUUGGACAAUGGGCGAAAGCCUGAUCCAGCCAUGCCGCGUGUGUGAAGAAGGCCUUCGGGUUGUAAAGCACUUUCAGUGAGGAAGAAAGCCUUGAGGUUAAUACCCUUGAGGGAGGACAUCACUCACAGAAGAAGCACCGGCUAACUCCGUGCCAGCAGCCGCGGUAAUACGGAGGGUGCGAGCGUUAAUCGGAAUUACUGGGCGUAAAGCGCGCGUAGGCGGCUUGAUAAGCCGGUUGUGAAAGCCCCGGCCUGC